rnacentral:lncRNA from 1 species
AGGGUCUGAUCCAGGUAGCGCCUCAGGAGGACUUCCCGGGGAAGCGGCAUCUGAGCCCCGGGCUACAGGAUGUGGCCCACCCCCCAAAGGAGAACGGUUGCUUCCCUCUGUCAAGUGGUUCUGGGGACACUGCCUCUGCUCUUGGCUGUAGCAAUGGACACAAAAUCCAGACCUGGCCGAUCAUGAUGUUCAGUAUGGAGAUGACCAAACUGGGCCAAGCAGAAUGCUUCUCUGGAGCUCCCACGUGGAUGCCAGGCAGGAAGGCUUUUCUUUCCUCUAAGAUUGAUAAACUGGAAUGAUGUCUCCUUACAAUACAAAAAGAGAAGUAGGCAACAUUGCUUGAGCCCCUGAUGACUCUGGGACCCAACCCAGCCCCAUUACAAAGAGCCAACGAGAGCAAAGAAAGAUUCUAUUUUAGAGACAGGGGUCUCUUGUGUUCCUUAAAUCACGUGAUAUUGUGAUGGCUUCUGAAAAGGGGCCACAGUAAUUUCCCAGCACUUUAUAGCCAUCCUCUCUCCUGCCUAUGGACCCUUUCUGUUCACGCAAGGGAAAAUGGGGCAAUAACGAGGCUUGGCAGAAGCGAAGGGACUGGUAGCCCAGUCCAGUCUUGCUGCCUCACUAAAGCCCGUUUAUAUUACGCCCCAUCAGAAAUGCCCUCAAAGGCCACAGAGUCAUGAAGGGAAUGUACAUUUUCAAUAAGUUCUUCAUGUGACUAGUCAUUCAAUAGAUGUUUGCUGAGUGCCUGCUGUCCAAGUCUUGGAGUUACAGCAGUGAAUGAAAUGGACAAACUCCCCUGGGCUUGAGAGCUUACAUUUGGGGCUGAGCAGAGAAACUAAACAAAAGAAACAACUAAAUCAUGUGCUUUAGAUGGUGAUGACCCCACUGGGAUCUGGGAGAGAGUGUGCAGAGGGAACAGCCAGUGCAAAAGCCCUAAGGCAGGCUUGUGCCUGGUGUGUUCCAGGAACUUGAAGAUAGAGGCAGGAAGAUGAGGUCAGCGAGGUCAGGGAUGGGGCCAAAGGGGCGGGGCCGCGUAGACCCGCUAUGGGACCUGGGGCUUUGACUCAGUGAGGCGGGAAACUCGGGGUGGCUGUUGGGCAGAGCUUUUAUGAAGCUCACACUUGAUUCUCUACCUAGAAGCCCACAGCCCUCUGCAGCCCCUGCAUUCUGCACAGAUCGUGGGGGUGGUGAAAUGAGCCAGUGUAUGGAGAGUUCGCAGCAUGGGUGGGCCUGAUGCAAAGUAGACCCCAAUGGAAUGGAAGCUGUUAUGAUGAACAACAGUCAGACCAUUUAUACCGAGGU